CCUACGGGAGGCAGCAGUGGGGAAUAUUGGACAAUGGGGGCAACCCUGAUCCAGCCAUGCCGCGUGUGUGAAGAAGGCCCUCGGGUUGUAAAGCACUUUCAGUGAGGAAGAACGCCUGGUGGUUAAUACCCAUCAGGAAAGACAUCACCCACAGAAGAAGCACCGGCUAACUCCGUGCCAGCAGCCGCGGUAAUACGGAGGGUGCGAGCGUUAAUCGGAAUUACUGGGCGUAAAGCGCGCGUAGGUGGCUUGAUAAGCCGGUUGUGAAAGCCCCGGGCUCAACCUGGGAACGGCAUCCGGAACUGUCAAGCUAGAGUGCAGGAGAGGAAGGUAGAAUUCCCGGUGUAGCGGUGAAAUGCGUAGAGAUCGGGAGGAAUACCAGUGGCGAAGGCGGCCUUCUGGACUGACACUGACACUGAGGUGCGAAAGCGUGGGUAGCAAACAGGAUUAGAUACCCUUGUAGUC
rnacentral:rRNA from 1 species